rnacentral:rRNA from 1 species
GUAGGGAAUAUUGGGCAAUGGUCGGAAGACUGACCCAGCCAUGCCGCGUGCAGGAAGACGGCCCUCUGGGUUGUAAACUGCUUUUAUCUGGGAAGAAAAAGGCCAUGCGUGGCAAAUUGCCGGUACCAGAUGAAUAAGCACCGGCUAACUCCGUGCCAGCAGCCGCGGUAAUACGGAGGGUGCGAGCGUUGUCCGGAUUUAUUGGGUUUAAAGGGUGCGUAGGCGGCUGAUUAAGUCAGCGGUGAAAGACUUCGGCUUAACCGGAGCAGUGCCGUUGAUACUGGUUGGCUUGAGUGUCGGAGGGGUACAUGGAAUUGAUGGUGUAGCGGUGAAAUGCAUAGAUACCAUCAGGAACACCGAUAGCGAAGGCAUUGUACUGGCCGACAACUGACGCUGAUGCACGAAAGUGUGGGGAUCGAACAGGAUUAGAUACCUUUGUAGUCC